rnacentral:lncRNA from 1 species
CAUGGGAGAGGGGAACCUUUUACUACCAUGGCGUAAACGAGGAGGGGUUAUUUGAGAAAUAAGUUGACAAGAGUCACCUUUGAAAAAAAAAUUGCAAGCGACUUUCUUUCUAAACACCUUGAUGUAUUCCGGCCUGCAAACGCAGGUUUUACUCCCAACACAGAUGGAGACCUCUGGUUUACUGAAGAGGCAGGUCUCUGCUGAGUUUCAUGGAAAGACAUGGUUCUCCGUCUCUUGCCUCCUCCCGUUGCCUGGAUGCUUGGGUUCCAUUUUGAUCAGAUAUGCCCUGCGACUUCAGCCCAUUUGUUUCCCCUUGGAGGAGCCAGACAAGAUUCUCGUUUAUUCACUUGUAAUCAGCUACUGCCAUCGCAAAGAGUCACACAGAGCGCAUGAAGAAAAUGAGGCUUUGACAGACUACAUAAGGAAGCUGAUUCAACAGCUCAUAAAUUACAGAGCUGAAGUUCUAACUGGUUCCUACAUACCUUCUACCAAAACAUAAGCUGGAGGUGUUAAGUAUAUAAUUUAACCAAUGUUUUAGAAAUAAAAGAGUAAGCAAGUGAUUGAAAAUUAUUAAGAACAAUUUGGUUCUGGGUCAACUAAAGAAGAUACUUUUUGACCUAAUCUUUCUACAGCUGGAAACUUUAAUUGAAGGAUUAAAGAUUUGCACAGUAGAAGGUGUGCUUAUGGCAGAUAAUCUGAAAUAGAAGUUUUG